UGCAGCACAGGUAAGCAGUAUGCCUUGUAAAUCACAGGGCACUGUGAAACUCACUGGGGGCCUCCUCAGUGUCUCCCCUCCCCUGCUCCUGACAACCAGCCAGUCCCCGUACAUAGACUCGUCUCCCUCCAGGGUCCCUUUUCCUCCUCUCUGACCUGCUCCUGGGUAGACUGUACCAUCAGCUCCUACCACUGGUUCCCUUCCCCCGAAGUCCAAUUUCCACUUGGCCCCUUUCUAACAUUCAGAACUGUCCUUGUUCUUCCUCUGCUCAGAAUUCUCCGAUGGAACUCUCUUACCCUCAGGGGAAAAAGCUAAGCUCCUCACCUGUGUCCUUCUGCCAAGGUCACCAGUCUCAUCUUAUGCCACCCCACUGCUGCCUCCUACAAGGUGCCUGAGUGUUUCUCAUCAACAACAGCUGGGCCUUUUGUGUUUUCUCAAGAGGAACAGAGUGCUGGUGGCGUGUUUCCCCGCUGUACCAGGAAGAGAAGAUCAGCGUUUCUAAAACGUCCUCAUUCAGGGUGAAGUGGAAAUAUUCCAGCGCUGGGGAGUCAGGUGGCCCGAGUUCCAAUCUUUGCUUUGCCUUGCCUCCCUAAAGGACCCAGAACCAAAUUAUUGCUCUCUCUGCCCCUUCAUCCUCUUGUCUAAGAAGGGAUCGAGGGGUGCAAAGUUAGUGAUCUCUCUCUCUGGAUGGGGUGCUCUAGGGCUGUGAUUCGAAAAUCACACAUCCUUGGGGACCUCCUCGGUGGUCCAGUGGCUAAGACUCUGCCUUUCCACUGCAGGGGGCGCAGGACUCGAUCCCUGGUGGGGAAACUCAGAUCCCACAUACCACAUGGCAUGGCCAGAAAAUAAAAGCUGGGGCUUCUCUGGUAGUCUAGAGGUUAAGAGUCAAAUGCAGGGGACAUGGGUUUGAUCCCUGGUCCAGGAAGAUCCCACACGCCAUGGAGCAACUAAGCCCAUGUACCACAAUCACUGAGCCUCUGCUCUUGAGCCAAGGAACCAAAACUACUGAGCCUACACACUGCAACUGCUGAAGCUCACAUGCCCUAGAGUCUGUGCUCUGCAACAAGAGAAGCCACCGCAGUGAGAAGCCCGAGGACCGCAAGCAGAGAGUAGCCCCUGCUCGCCACCACUAGGGAAAGCCCAAACACAGCAACAAGGACCCAGUGCAGCCAAAAAUACAUGAACAAGUAAAUCUGUAAAAAACAAAAAAGCAAACAAAAAUCCCACACCCAGGAGAUUCUGGCAGGGCUCACUUAGUGACUGUGAAGCUCCUGAAAUUAUGUACAAAACUUUGUAAAUAUGGAUAUUGCUUUCUGGGGGGGUUUAUCUGGUGUUCAAAGGGAUCCCUAAUCCCCUAUGGGUUGAGUCACUUUUUAAAAUUGAUUUAGCAAAAUAUCAUUU